GAUGAACGCUGGCGGCGUGCCUAAUACAUGCAAGUCGAGCGAACAGAUGAGGAGCUUGCUCCUCUGACGUUAGCGGCGGACGGGUGAGUAACACGUGGAUAACCUACCUAUAAGACUGGGGUAACUUCGGGAAACCGGAGCUAAUACCGGAUAAUAUAUUGAACCGCAUGGUUCAAUAGUGAAAGACGGUUUUGCUGUCACUUAUAGAUGGAUCCGCGCCGCAUUAGCUAGUUGGUAAGGUAACGGCUUACCAAGGCAACGAUGCGUAGCCGACCUGAGAGGGUGAUCGGCCACACUGGAACUGAGACACGGUCCAGACUCCUACGGGAGGCAGCAGUAGGGAAUCUUCCGCAAUGGGCGAAAGCCUGACGGAGCAACGCCGCGUGAGUGAUGAAGGUCUUUGGAUCGUAAAACUCUGUUAUUAGGGAAGAACAAAUGUGUAAGUAACUAUGCACGUCUUGACGGUACCUAAUCAGAAAGCCACGGCUAACUACGUG
rnacentral:rRNA from 1 species